GAUGAACGCUGGCGGCGUGCCUAAUACAUGCAAGUCGAACGAAACUUCUUUAUCACCGAGUGCCUGCACUCACCGAUAAAGAGUUGAGUGGCGAACGGGUGAGUAACACGUGGCAACCUGCCCAAAAGAGGGGGAUAACACUUGGAAACAGGUGCUAAUACCGCAUAACCAUAGUUACCGCAUGGUAACUAUGUAAAAGGUGGCUAUACUACCGCUUUUGGAUGGGCCCGCGGCGCAUUAGCUAGUUGGUAGGGUAAAGGCUUACCAAGGCAAUGAUGCGUAGCCGAAUUGAGAGGUUGAUCGGCCACAUUGGGACUGAGACACGGCCCAAACUCCUACGGGAGGCAGCAGUAGGGAAUCUUCCACAAUGGGCGAAAGCCUGAUGGAGCAACGCCGCGUGGGUGAAGAAGGUCUUCGGAUCGUAAAACCCUGUUGUUAGAGAAGAAAGUGCGUGAGAGUAACUGUUCACGUUUCGACGGUAUCUAACCAGAAAGCCACGGCUAACUACGUG
rnacentral:rRNA from 1 species